rnacentral:rRNA from 1 species
UACGUAGGGGGCAAGCGUUAUCCGGAUUUACUGGGUGUAAAGGGAGCGUAGACGGUUAUGCAAGUCAGAAGUGAAAGCCCGGGGCUCAACUCCGGGACUGCUUUUGAAACUGUUGAACUAGAUUGCAGGAGAGGUAAGUGGAAUUCCUAGUGUAGCGGUGAAAUGCGUAGAUAUUAGGAGGAACACCAGUGGCGAAGGCGGCUUACUGGACUGUAAAUGACGCUGAGGCUCGAAAGCGUGGGGAGCGAACAGG